rnacentral:rRNA from 1 species
AUUGAACGCUGGCGGCAUGCCUUACACAUGCAAGUCGAACGGCAGCGGGGGAGAAGCUUGCUUUUCCUGCCGGCGAGUGGCGAACGGGUGAGUAAUACAUCGGAACGUGCCCUGUAGUGGGGGAUAACUAGUCGAAAGAUUAGCUAAUACCGCAUACAACCUGAGGGUGAAAGUGGGGGACCGCAAGGCCUCAUGAUAUAGGAGCGGCCGAUGUCUGAUUAGCUAGUUGGUGGGGUAAAGGCCUACCAAGGCGACGAUCAGUAGCUGGUCUGAGAGGACGAUCAGCCACACUGGGACUGAGACACGGCCCAGACUCCUACGGGAGGCAGCAGUGGGGAAUUUUGGGCAAUGGGCGAAAGCCUGAUCCAGCAAUGCCGCGUGUGUGAAGAAGGCCUUCGGGUUGUAAAGCACUUUUGUCCGGAAAGAAAUGGCUCUGGUUAAUACCUGGGGUCGAUGACGGUACCGGAAGAAUAAGGACCGGCUAACUACGUGCCAGCCGCCGCAGUAA